AAAAGAUUUAUCGGUAUGAGAGGAGCUCGCGUCUGAUUAGCUAGUUGGUGGGGUAACGGCCUACCAAGGCGACGAUCAGUAGCCGACCUGAGAGGGUGAUCGGCCACAUUGGAACUGAGACACGGUCCAAACUCCUACGGGAGGCAGCAGUGGGGAAUAUUGCACAAUGGGGGAAACCCUGAUGCAGCAACGCCGCGUGAAGGAAGAAGUAUUUCGGUAUGUAAACUUCUAUCGACAGGGAAGAAACAAAUGACGGUACCUGAAUAAGAAGCACCGGCUAAAUACGUGCCAGCAGCCGCGGUAAUACGUAUGGUGCAAGCGUUAUCCGGAUUUACUGGGUGUAAAGGGUGAGUAGGCGGUCAUGCAAGUCAUAUGUGAAAUGUCAGGGCUUAACCUUGGCGCUGCAUAAGAAACUGUAUGACUAGAGUGCAGGAGAGGUAAGCGGAAUUCCUAGUGUAGCGGUGAAAUGCGUAGAUAUUAGGAAGAACACCGGUGGCGAAGGCGGCUUACUGGACUGUUACUGACGCUGAGUCACGAAAGCGUGGGGAGCAAACAGGAUUAGAUACCCUGGUAGUCCACGCCGUAAACGAUGAGUGCUAGGUGU
rnacentral:rRNA from 1 species